rnacentral:lncRNA from 1 species
AUAUAACGGGUCGGGUUUGGAGAUAGAUCCGACCCGUUACGCGCGCAUGCCUAAUUUACGGUUUUUCUUUUUCAUUUUUUUUUUUCCAUUUUCACCUCAACCAAAAAACAAAAGGGGCUCGCACUGAGCCUGCAGAGGUUAGUUCUAUAUAUACAUUAAGUUCUAUUUUACUUGAUUAAUGUUUCUCCUAAAUUAGUUCUUAAAAUUUUCAUUCCGAUGAGACCCUUUUUGUGGCGUGUAUAUAUACAAUUUGUUCGAGGGGGAUAUUAGGAGGAAAUAGCAAGUGGAAGAAGAUUUCAGAAACAGAUAAAGGUGGGAGAAUUGGGGGAAGAACCCAUUUGAUUUUAAUAUAAUUUUUUACGAUGCUACAAAUGCAAACUAAAUGAUUAUGCUAUUUUCCUCAAUGGACAUAUUGUUCUUUAGUGUGCUGAUUUUUUUGGCCAUUUUUUGAGCCUUAGUAAUUAGAGAGGUAGGUCCCAUGCAAGAUCCAGUUUGAAGUUGCUGUACAGGAUUUUUAAGUUAUGAGCAUUUUUAUCUUUCUUAAAAAGGUGCAAGAUCACGCGAUAACCUGAAAGGAUAUCGAAUUGGAGCAGUCGAAAUUGCGGGCAGUGUUCAGAAUUCAGAAUGGUGGGUGUGUUCUAGUUUUCAUUUUCAGCAGUCAGGCCUAGGUGCUAUUUCCGAGCUGCGUAUACUGUCGAGUUUGCUCUAGCCAAUUUUGAUGAUUGCAUCUCUUCUUUUGAGAUGCUGAAAUGAGAUUAAAGCUUACCGGCCGGUUUAGGAUUUCUAGAAGGGUCUGAUUCGGUUGCUGGUUUAACUUCUGAUGAAGUUGAUCUCUGCUUCAUCGCGUCGCCGUUGGUAUGGCUGCUCUAUUUGUGUCAGCUUAUUGUUUCUUUAAAAUAAUUUUCUGACGGCAUAUGCAGUAUUAUUUUUCCUUGCAACAUUCUAGCUCUUAACUAUCGCCAACUCAAUUUCAUGUGCUCUUGUCAUAUUAUUAGUAAUAUCUGAAGAUGCUGGAGAAGUGCAUGAAUCUAUGCUGUAACUGGAAUGUUAGUAGUUAUAAUUUGGAUUUAAACGUGUCGGUUGAGGUUAUCAAGUUCGUUCGAUUCAAUUUACUGAUGCUAGCAGGGUUCUAGGCUUAACAAUUUAGUUUGCUUAUUGCUUACAAGGGAACAGAAAUAAGAUCUAACAAGCAAAUUUACUGAUAUUGGAAAAAAACACAACAUAGUACUAGCUUUCAUUACAUUCUAGAUCAGAAGCAGCUAAAGGAUGCUUAAUUAACCCGACCUACUUUGCAUUUAUUCAAGACUUGAUCGUACCAUUCAUGUCUUAAUAUUGAAGCCCUCAUGAUUAUAGUUAGCUCUAACUCUGAGACAUUUCAGGCGAUAGCAGAAGUAGCACCAAAUAUCUACAGCUUGUGCUUAGUUACCGGACUAAAUUGAAAUUGUAGGAAGGUUCAGGGAGCAUGGGAACGUCAGUGGCUCCAUCGAGCAUCUGCGUUACCUUUAGCAUUGUAGGCCUCAACGAUGGCUCCUCUUGUACGCACCACAAGGCCACCGUUACGAACUUCUCCACCCUCUUCAUGUCGGCCAUGGCUUCUUCGUCGCCAUCCACCACCAAUUCCACCUUCCCUUCUCUGUAGCAGUCGUUCACCCAGUAUGUCAGUAUUGCCUUCUCCUCAUCUUCAAUCUCUGCUUCCACGUUCCUUCUGCAACAUAUGAUUUCCAGUAAAAUGACCCCAAAACUGUAGACGUCCACCUUGGAUGUGAUUCCCAAGUUCCUGAACCACUCGGGCGCAACGUACCCUCGAGUCCCUCUGAUGCCGGUGUUCGUCUGAGUUUGGUCCGUCUUAAGAAGCUUUGCCAGGCCGAAGUCCGAGAUCUUCGCGACAAAGUUUCC